CACAGAGAGUUUUAUGAAAUUUCUAGACUGGUCUGGGUUCUGCACAGGACGACACAGGUGACCUUCGACAGAAGAUCGUGCACCAGAACGGGGUUCACUUUUCAGAAGACGUGAUACUGGAUUGGUUUGUUCAGAUUUGUUUUGCCGUUAAGUACAUACACAAUCGACACAUCCUUCACCGUGAUCUGAAAACACAGAACAUCUUCAUAACGAUUGAUAACAUCAUCAAGCUGGGAGAUUUCGGCAUAUCGCGUGUUGUGAGCGACAACAGCGGCUUUGCUCUGACGGCCAUUGGAACACCAUAUUACCUGAGUCCGGAAAUAUGCAGGAAGCAGCCGCAUCCUUUGGUCAUCUGUUUUCUUUGGUCAUCUGUUUUCCUUGGUCAUCUGUUUUCUGUGGUCAUAGAUAAACCCUGAAAAGAUGUCAGGAUUAGUCAUCUACCGGUAUCGGAAGGGACUAGAGGAUCAUACCUCGGCUAUCCAUCCGAGCGUCCGCCCGUCUGUCAGUCACCUGGUCAGGAAUCUAUUUCCUGGGCUUAGAAUAGUUCAUUCCUGGCUUUCCCCCGGACUCUGCCCGGUUUCAUAC